rnacentral:rRNA from 1 species
CACGUAGGGUGCGAGCGUUGUCCGGAAUUAUUGGGCGUAAAGAGCUCGUAGGCGGUGUGUCGCGUCGGCCGUGAAAACCUGCAGCUUAACUGUGGGCUUGCGGUCGAUACGGGCAUCACUGGAGUUCGGCAGGGGAGACUGGAAUUCCUGGUGUAGCGGUGAAAUGCGUAGAUAUCGGAAGGAACAUCAGUGGCGAAGGCGACUUCCUGGACCAAUACUGACGCUCAGGUGCGAAAGCGUGGGGAGCAAACAGG